AGAGUUUGAUCCUGGCUCAGGACGAACGCUGGCGGCGUGCUUAAUACAUGCAAGUCAAGGAGAACGUUUUCUUCGGAAAGCUAUUAAACUGGCGAACGGGUGAGUAACGCGUAGGCAACCUGCCCUAGAGAUUGGGACAACUUUGGGAAACUAGAGCUAAUACCGAAUAAUGCAGCGGAUCCUUCGGGAUACAGUUGUUAAAGCGGGCUUCGGCUCGCACUUUAGGAUGGGCCUGCGUCCGAUUAGCUUGUUGGUAGGGUAACGGCUUACCAAGGCAAUGAUCGGUAGCUGGUCUGAGAGGAUGAUCAGCCACACUGGGAUUGAGAUACGGCCCAGACUCCUACGGGAGGCAGCAGUAGGGAAUUUUGCGCAAUGGGGGAAACCCUGACGCAGCAACGCCGCGUGACCGAUGAAGCUUCUAGGAGUGUAAAGGUCUGUCGUAGGGGAAGAACAAUUCGAAAUUUAAUACAUUUCGUUUCUGACGGUACCUUACAAGAAAGCACCGGCUAACUUCGUGCCAGCAGCCGCGGUAAUACGAGGGGUGCAAGCGUUGUCCGGAAUCACUGGGCGUAAAGGGUCCGUAGGCGUCUUAAUAAGUCAUUUGUUAAAGACACCGGCUUAACCGGGGGAGUGCAAUUGAAACUAUUAAGAUAGAGUAUAGGAGAGGAAAGGGGAAUUCCUGG
rnacentral:rRNA from 1 species